ensembl:snoRNA
AUUCUUCUGUGGUUCAGAAGCGUGAUGACGGGGCGCUCACGCUGUUGGGCGCCAUGUGCCUCCCUCAAACCUUGUUACACCAGCAGCGUAUGACCCGUCUGACA